CAUUCAAGAGAAAGCAAAUAAACCCUAAGUUAUGGGGACCUGUCAAAGCUCUAGGAGAAUUAAGUAACUAAAAAUCAUUAGUAGCGUCUUUGACAGCUCUUAAACCUUCCCUGGCUCCCGCCCCUGCUCCGGGAGGUCUGAGUGUUCCCUGUCAUGUGUCUUCAGAGAAAUCCUCAGUUCCCUGGGGCCUCAGAUCUAGAGGAACCUCAGAAACCUUCCAGGCCAGUGCUUUCAAACACUGCUAUUAAUCAAUCUGCCUGUUUGUGUAUAUAUCUUUUCCUUUUAGUCUCAUUCAACAUAAGAUUUUUAGUGACCUGUAAAAAUACUUAAAAUUCAGAAUGAUAGAACAUUAACUUGAGAGAUGAAGUUCAAAGAAAAAAAGAGGUGGAAAAAUAAUAAAGCCAGCAUGUGUCAGUCAGGCUGGUUCUAGCUAUAAGUGUUAAACAAUUAGCUCAUUUAUUAUCUUUUAUUGUCUUACAUAACAGGAUGUCUUAGUCUGUUUUCUGUUGCUAUAACUGAAUACCUGGAACUGGGUAAUUUAUAAACAAAAGAAGUUUAUUUUGGUUUAUGGUUCUGGCAGCUGGAAAGUCGAAGAUUGGGCAGUGGCAUCUGGUGAGGGUCUUGCUAGUGGGCAGAGUCCCAAGGUGACCCAGGGCAUCAUAUAGCAAAGGGGUUCACAAAAGAGCUAACCAGGCUUUUAUAGCAGAUCCAUUCUCAAGAUCCCUUCUGUGACAACCCAUUCAUAAUAACUCCCGUGAUAACUCAUUACUCCAUUAACCCGUUAGUGCAUUAAAGCACACCAACUCCAGGGGGAUGGCCCAGGAACCCAGGUUUCUUCUAUCUCUGCUCUGUCAUUUUUUUCUUUAUCCUCAGGCUGUCAGCAUUUUUAGGGAUCAUAUGCCAGCAUCAUGAUGCCUAAAGGAAGGAAAAAGACCACAUUUUCUUAGGAAGGAAAAAGAAACUUCCCAGAUGCCCCAAGCAGACUUUCCUUCACUAAUUCUUAUUGGCCAGGAAUGGGCCCCUUUUCCACUCCCAAACCAAUUAUGGACAAGGGGAAUGGACUUCCCAUGGCUGGCUUAGAUUAAUCAUGGGGGCUGAAAUGAAUAAUGGAGCAUCUACUAUAAUGCCUGUGACACCUGGGGCAAACUGACUUACACACCAUGAGAUACUCAGAAAUACAGAGACCAUGUGGUCUAGUACAGUUGCUAGAGGUGGGCUGCAAAUUUAGCUCUGAGUUUCCCAGAAUCCAAAGCAAAAAGGGGAAACCAA
rnacentral:lncRNA from 1 species